UACGGAGGGUGCAAGCGUUAAUCGGAAUUACUGGGCGUAAAGCGCACGUAGGUGGUUUGCUAAGUCAGCUGUGAAAUCCCCGGGCCUCAACCUGGGCACUGCAGUUGAAACUGGCAAGCUAGAGUAGGGUAGAGGGGUGUGGAAUUCCAGGUGUAGCGGUGAAAUUCGUAGAUAUUCGGAAGAACACCAGUGGCGAAGGCGGCUCACUGGCCCGUUACCGACGCUCAGG
rnacentral:rRNA from 1 species